rnacentral:rRNA from 1 species
GACCUUCGGGAGCUUGCACAGGUGCUGCAUGGCUGUCGUCAGCUCGUGUCGUGAGAUGUUCGGUUAAGUCCGCUAACGAGCGCAACCCUCGCUGUGCGUUACAAGUGUCACACGGUACUGCCGGUCUUAAGCCGGAGGAAGGUGGGGAUGACGUCAAGUCAGCAUGGCCUUUAUGUCCCUGGGCUACACACACGCUACAAUGGCCAACACAAUAGGUUGCUAAGCCGCGAGGUGGAGCCAAUCCUCAAAGUUGGUCUCAGUUCAGAUUGUAGGCUGCAACCCGCCUGCAUGAAGAUGGAGUUGCUAGUAACCGCAGGUCAGCUAUACUGCGGUGAAUACGUUCCCGGGGCUU